rnacentral:lncRNA from 1 species
CACCAGUUCAAAUUUUGAAUAAAGAGGAAGCGGGUGGGGGAAUCAUCAACCUCAUUGUUUCCUGGGUUCUCUCCAGUGCGUCAUAGUGACUAGGAUGUUCUGUCUGACUGGAAUGAGACUUGCUCCCAGAAGGCAAGAUGAUGACCCAGUAGACAAACUGUAAUGGUCUCGUUCAGCCCACUAUUUUUAUGAUAAACCUAAAAAAAAUUUGUGUUUUGGGGACACUAUGUUUGUAUGAUCUUUUCCAUUUUGAAAUUUGGUUCUCUCAUAAAGUUAUUUUAUUACACAUAUUUAUGAUGUUCCCAUUAUGAAUUAAAUUUCUUAAAUUUACAUCUCUACUCCAAAUAGCUUUCUUCUGUUACAGAACCAAAUACCCAACUACAUGCCAAACAUCUCCAUUUAAAGACUUCACCUCCACAGACACCUCCACUCCAGUAUGUUCCAAGAAAUGAACUCACUUGCUUUCAGCUCUCCAGUUUAUAGAUUCCCACUGUGUCAUCAGAGAAACAGACACCAAGAUGGAAUAGAUGUGCAAGAGGCUUCUAAGAGCUCCCUUAGCUCUCAUCUCAGUGAGUUUUCCUUAUCCCUUAGAGUUCUUGCCAGGGUGUUAAACCCAAUGCCCUGAGAAAGCAUCCCCAAUCAGUGAAUUCUUGCUUACCCAAUCCACGUUCCGGCUCCCAUGAUCACCGUUAAAAUUCCAAUACCAGUACCAUCCCCUGGCUCUUGCUGGUACAUACCAGCUAGUUUUUGCAUCUCACUCAGAGUAUAAUCUCUUUCCUCCAUUAUCAGGCCCAACAUGAUCCAGCAGAUUUACUUUGGGAUUUAAGCUUCCCAGCUUGGCAGCCAGGAGAGGAGCUUGGACAGCUGAGUAGAACACCUGCUGCUUCGUGGGAGAAAGGCCUCUGCAAUGUCUUCUCAUACAAGAGAGAUGCUCACUCUUACUAGGUGAGCGUGGGGCGCCUCUGUAAACUCUGAGGGAUUGGAAGGGUCUGCAAAGCCAAGUUCAUUAGGGGCAUCUACCCAGAUUUCCCUGGAUUAUAUUCCAGGGCCCCAGCUUUUCCCAACCACGGUCCUGACUUUAGUGUAACAGCCCUGCCCUCACUAAGCAUUUCAGUGUCUCUGGAGCUCUGUGACACUGACCGUCAAGUUCAUCUGCUCCUCACUGUGUUCACUCUUCCUCUGAAGAGAUGAGGGCCUAUUUGUAAUCCUCCAAAUACAUCCUCUGGCUCUCACAUUUAGCCUUUAACAGUGUGUUAACCACACUCAGUUUCUCAAUAUCCCUCUGCAGGGCAACAGUACAACUUGGUGAUGACCAGCCAACUCUACUCUUCUUACAAGCAUUCUCCAACUCCACCCCCAACCCUUUAUCUUUCAAUUUCUUAAAUAAUCACUCCAGCAAAACAUUCCUCUUCCCUGGAAUAUUAUCCCAGGUCAUGACCAGACAAAUCUUCAGCACUUGGGUACCACAGUGUUCCAGUGACUCUCCAGGCCACACAUUCCACUUAGAAUGGGGUCCUCCUGGAUAGCCUCCUUGCCAGGCCAUGUAGUAACGCCGUUCAGAGACUGUCUCAGUCAGGCUGAUGGAGAGUCUCCAAGCAAAGGUUGCCUGUUAC